AUACGGAGGAUCCGAGCGUUAUCCGGAUUUAUUGGGUUUAAAGGGUGCGCAGGCGGCCAUUUAAGUCAGCGGUUAAAUCGUGGGGCUCAACCCCAUUCUGCCGUUGAUACUGGGUGGCUUGAUUGCGGUCGAGGUUGGCGGAAUUCGUUGUGUAGCGGUGAAAUGCAUAGAUAUCACGAAGAACUCCGAUCGCGAAGGCAGCUCACCGGGCCGGAACUGACACUGAUGCUCGAAAGUGCGGGUAUCAAACAGGAUUAGAUACCCUGGUAGUCCGCACAGUAAACGAUGAAUACUCGCUGUUUGCGAUACGCUGUAAGCGGCCAAGCGAAAGCGUUAAGUAUUCCACCUGGGGAGUACGCCGGCAACGGUGAAACUCAAAUGAAUUGGCGGGG
rnacentral:rRNA from 1 species